UUACGACCAUAUCGCGUUGAAACACCGGUAAUCGUACAACCAUCAGAGUUAAGCAAACGUCGAGCCUGGUUAGUAACUAGAUGGGUGACCGCUUGGGAAUACCAAGUGCUGUAAG